rnacentral:rRNA from 1 species
UACGUAGGGUGCGAGCGUUGUCCGGAAUUAUUGGGCGUAAAGAGCUCGUAGGCGGUCUGUCGCGUCGGUCGUGAAAACUUGGGGCUUAACCCUGAGCUUGCGGUCGAUACGGGCAUGACUGGAGUUCGGUAGGGGAGACUGGAAUUCCUGGUGUAGCGGUGAAAUGCGCAGAUAUCAGGAGGAACACCGGUGGCGAAGGCGGGUCUCUGGGCCGAUACUGACGCUGAGGCGCGAAAGCGUGGGGAGCGAACAGG